GAUGAACGCUGGCGGCGUGCUUAACACAUGCAAGUCGAACGGAAAGGCCAGUGCUUGCACUGGUACUCGAGUGGCGAACGGGUGAGUAACACGUGGGUGAUCUGCCCUGCACUUCGGGAUAAGCCUGGGAAACUGGGUCUAAUACCGGAUAGGACAAUGGUUUGGAUGCCGUUGUGGAAAGUUUUUUCGGUGUGGGAUGAGCUCGCGGCCUAUCAGCUUGUUGGUGGGGUAAUGGCCUACCAAGGCGUCGACGGGUAGCCGGCCUGAGAGGGUGUACGGCCACAUUGGGACUGAGAUACGGCCCAGACUCCUACGGGAAGCAGCAGUGGGGAAUAUUGCACAAUGGGCGCAAGCCUGAUGCAGCGACGCCGCGUGGGGGAUGACGGCCUUCGGGUUGUAAACUCCUUUCGCUAGGGACGAAGCGUAUUUGUGACGGUACCUGGAGAAGAAGCACCGGCUAACUACGUG
rnacentral:rRNA from 1 species